UACGGGGGGGGCAAGCGUUGUUCGGAAUUACUGGGCGUAAAGGGCGCGUAGGCGGCCUGCUAAGUCGGAUGUGAAAUCCCUCGGCUCAACCGAGGAACUGCAUCCGAUACUGGCGGGCUUGAAUCCGGGAGAGGGAUGUGGAAUUCCAGGUGUAGCGGUGAAAUGCGUAGAUAUCUGGAGGAACACCGGUGGCGAAGGCAGCAUCCUGGACCGGUAUUGACGCUGAGGCGCGAAAGCUAGGGGAGCAAACGGG
rnacentral:rRNA from 1 species